rnacentral:rRNA from 1 species
UACAGAGGUCCCAAGCGUUGUUCGGAUUCACUGGGCGUAAAGGGUGCGUAGGCGGUCGGGUAAGUCUGAUGUGAAAUCUCACAGCUUAAAUGUGAAACUGCAUUGGAUACUAUCCGGCUCGAGGAAUGGAGGGGAGACUGGAAUACUUGGUGUAGCAGUGAAAUGCGUAGAUAUCACUUGGAACGCCAAAGGUGAAGACAGUCUGCUGGGGAUUUGCUGACGCUGAGACACGAAAGCCAGGGGAGCGAACGGG